rnacentral:rRNA from 1 species
UACGUAGGGUGCAAGCGUUAAUCGGAAUUACUGGGCGUAAAGCGUGCGCAGGCGGUUAUGUAAGACAGAUGUGAAAUCCCCGGGCUCAACCUGGGAACUGCAUUUGUGACUGCAUAGCUAGAGUACGGUAGAGGGGAUGGAAUUCCGCGUGUAGCAGUGAAAUGCGUAGAUAUGCGGAGGAACACCGAUGGCGAAGGCAAUCCCCUGGACCUGUACUGACGCUCAUGCACGAAAGCGUGGGGAGCAAACAGG